AUCCGGCUGACGAGUCCCAAAUACGACGAAACGCGCGUCCUGGAU
rnacentral:hammerhead_ribozyme from 1 species